rnacentral:rRNA from 1 species
UACGGAGGGGGGCUAGCGUUGUUCGGAAUUACUGGGCGUAAAGCGCACGUAGGCGGCUUUGUAAGUUAGAGGUGAAAGCCCAGGGCUCAACCCUGGAAUUGCCUUUAAGACUGCAUCGCUUGAAUCAUGGAGAGGUGAGUGGAAUUCCGAGUGUAGAGGUGAAAUUCGUAGAUAUUCGGAAGAAACACCAGUGGCGAAGGCGACUCACUGGACAUGUAUUGACGCUGAGGUGGCGAAAAGCGU